rnacentral:rRNA from 1 species
AACGAACGCUGGCGGCAGGCUUAACACAUGCAAGUCGAGCGCCCCGCAAGGGGAGCGGCAGACGGGUGAGUAACGCGUGGGAAUCUACCCAUCCCUACGGAAUAGCUCCGGGAAACUGGAAUUAAUACCGUAUACGCCCUACGGGGGAAAGAUUUAUCGGGAAUGGAUGAGCCCGCGUUGGAUUAGCUAGUUGGUGGGGUAAAGGCCUACCAAGGCGACGAUCCAUAGCCGGUCUGAGAGGAUGAUCAGCCACAUUGGGACUGAGACACGGCCCAAACUCCUACGGGAGGCAGCAGUGGGGAAUAUUGGACAAUGGGGGCAACCCUGAUCCAGCCAUGCCGCGUGAGUGAUGAAGGCCUUAGGGUUGUAAAGCUCUUUCACCGGGGAAGAUAAUGACGGUACCCGGAGAAGAAGCCCCGGCUAACUUCGUGCCAGCAGCCGCGGUAAGAC